UUUCCGUAGGUGAACCUGCGGAAGGAUCAUUAAAGAGUAAGGGUCUUCGGGCCCGAUCUCCAACCCUUUGUUUAACUACCAUGUUGCUUUGGCGGGCCCGUCUCACGACCGCCGGAAGUUUGGCUUCGACCAAACUUCUGGCCCGUGCCCGUCAGUGGCCCCUUCAAAUUCUUGAUCAAGUAUGAUGUCUUAGUUAAAAACUUAAUAGUUAAAACUUUCAACAACGGAUCUCUUGGUUCU
rnacentral:misc_RNA from 1 species